rnacentral:misc_RNA from 1 species
UAACCAAUCAAGCCUGGCUUGGUACUGGGGUGCGCAUUUUGCGGCCCUCAAACGCAGUGGCAGUCUCGGCAGACCCUGAGCGUAGUAAAUUUUCUCGUUACUGGGUUCUGUCGGCGGCUUGUCAGAACCCUCAUUUUAUCA